UCUAGAACUUGAGAUAUAGGCUAAACACUGAACAAUGUCUGGGCUGCAGGACAGAUUCGGAUUUCUCCAUUGUUGCUACAAUUUGGACAUGAAAACAACCUUUUUAAAUCUUGGACUCCUCAUGAAAGUUUUAGACCUAUGUCUUAGCUUUCCAUC
rfam:Populus trichocarpa isolate Nisqually-1 chromosome 1, whole genome shotgun sequence.